CCGGGAAUGCUUGUGAAGCAGACCAGUCCGUGGUUUGAGAAGUCAACAAGAAGUGAACAAUUAUUCUUUAGUUGUUAAUUUUCUCGAAAUCUAAAGAUCGUUCACAGCUUUGUGGAAGUUACCUGUGGCGCUGAUGUUUAGGCCAAGUCAAGAAGAUGUGAUGAGCCAGAUCAACCAAUCAGCUUCAAUGCAGCUGUUCAACCCACCACCCUCACUGCUCUCCUUCCACAAGUAACCACAUCCUCUUCUCCUGUUCAACUAAUUUGCCACCACACUGAAAAGGACUGUAUUUACAUACCCUUGUGCCCAUCUCAGUGCAGCAUCCAUCCAAGGCCCCAGCUGGAUGCCUAAAAUGUGAAAAAUGUAAUCAAGAUGCUACAGUACUGUGUGUGUGUGUCACAUUCUGACCUUAGU